AAUAGAUACCCCGGUAGUCCACGCCGUAAACGAUGAGUGCUAAGUGUUAGAGGGUUUCCGCCCUUUAGUGCUGCAGCUAACGCAUUAAGCACUCCGCCUGGGGAGUACGGCCGCAAGGCUGAAACUCAAAGGAAUUGACGGGGGCCCGCACAAGCGGUGGAGCAUGUGGUUUAAUUCGAAGCAACGCGAAGAACCUUACCAGGUCUUGACAUCCUCUGAUCUCCCUGGAGACAGGGCCUUCCCCUUCGGGGGACAGAGUGACAGGUGGUGCAUGGUUGUCGUCAGCUCGUGUCGUGAGAUGUUGGGUUAAGUCCCGCAACGAGCGCAACCCUUGACCUUAGUUGCCAGCAUUCAGUUGGGCACUCUAAGGGUGACUGCCGGUGAACAAACCGGAGGAAGGUGGGGAUGACGUCAAAUCAUCAUGCCCCUUAUGACCUGGGCUACACACGUGCUACAAUGGAUGGUACAAAGGGCUGCGAGACCGCGAGGUUAAGCCAAUCCCAGAAAACCAUUCCCGAGUUCGGAUUGCAGGCUGCAACCCG
rnacentral:rRNA from 1 species